rnacentral:rRNA from 1 species
UACAGAGGUCUCAAGCGUUGUUCGGAUUCAUUGGGCGUAAAGGGUGCGUAGGCGGCGCGGUAAGUCGGGUGUGAAAUCUCGGAGCUUAACUCCGAAACUGCAUUCGAUACUGCCGUGCUUGAGGACUGGAGAGGAGACUGGAAUUUACGGUGUAGCGGUGAAAUGCGUAGAUAUCGUAAGGAAGACCAGUGGCGAAGGCUGGUCUCUGGACAGUUCCUGACACUGAGACACGAAGGCCAGGGGAGCAAACGGG